GUACAGCUCAGGAGCUAGCCCCAGUAUCCUCCCCGAACCCAAACAGAACACACGUGAGAAUGUUCACAACAGUGUUACUCAUGGCAACCCCUGACCAGAAACACUCCAGUGUCCCUCACCUGGCGAAUGGAUAAACAGAAUGUAGGCCAUGUGCACCAGCGGAGACCUCUGGGCAGUAAGAAAGAGCGUAUUAUUGCCUGCCUGUGUCUCUCUUCUGAAAGCUGGAGAAGAGAGGCUCUCUGAGCCUACUGCACAAUUUGGUUCCCAUUGGAAUCCUGCAAUUUUAGUCCUUCAUUGUUUGGGGGAGAAAAAGGGAGGGAAGAAGAGAAAGGAGGAGCUGAGGAAGGAGACUUCUUGGGAUUUAAGAAAUCCCUGGAUUCAAGCAUGAAAUAAAACAACAAAACACCUGUCACG